UUGCUUCUGAUUAAUUUAACCCUGGCUUGUCUUGGCUUAAUUUCAUUCUCUCCAACUGGAGGUGGAUGCAGACAUUACAGGCAGAGACUGGAGACAAAUGGAAAGGGAAAGCAAAUCCAGGCAAUGCUGCUGGUAACCUCAAAUCACCUUCUAUCUCUGUGAAUUUGCCCAUUCUAGAUAUCUCAUAUAAUUGCAGGAGUUCUGUGUAUAUUCUUGGAAAUUAAGCCUCAUGUAUUCAUGACUGGAUGACCUCCUCCCUCUUGCCUUCACUGCUUGCCCAAGGCAGAAGUCCCAGGAUAUCACCUCACUGAGCAAUGGCUGGACUAUUUCUGUUCUUAACACCUUGGCCCAAAUUAUUUUAUUAGAUAUCUUAGUAAUGUAUUUGCAUUUCUGCCCCAUUAACAAGUUGUUCACAUAAUUUCUGCAAUUUUAUGUAUGUAUGUUAUAUUUUUUAAAAU